GAUGAAGAACGUAGCAAAAUGCGAUAAGUAAUGUGAAUUGCAGAAUUCAGUGAAUCAUCGAAUCUUUGAACGCACAUUGCGCCCGCCAGUAUUCUGGCGGGCAUGCCUGUUCGAGCGUCAUUUCAACCCUCAAGCACAGCUUGGUGUUGGGACUCGCGUUAAUUCGCGUUCCUCAAAUUGAUUGGCGGUCACGUCGAGCUUCCAUAGCGUAGUAGUAAAACCCUCGUUACUGGUAAUCGUCGCGGCCACGCCGUUAAACCCCAACUUCUGAAUGUUGACCUCGGAUCAGGUAGGAAUACCCGCUGAACUUAAGCAUAUCAAUAGCGGAGGA
rnacentral:misc_RNA from 1 species